rnacentral:rRNA from 1 species
AUUGAACGCUGGCGGCAUGCUUUACACAUGCAAGUCGAACGGCAGCGCGGGGGCAACCCUGGCGGCGAGUGGCGAACGGGUGAGUAAUGUAUCGGAACGUAUCCUGUAAUGGGGGAUAACCAGUCGAAAGAUUGGGUAAUACCGCAUACGCACGAGAGUGGAAAGUAGGGGAUCGCAAGACCUUACGUUAUAGGAGCGGCCGAUAUCUGAUUAGCUAGUUGGUGGGGUAAAGGCCUACCAAGGCGACGAUCAGUAGCUGGUCUGAGAGGACGACCAGCCACACUGGGACUGAGACACGGCCCAGACUCCUACGGGAGGCAGCAGUGGGGAAUUUUGGACAAUGGGCGCAAGCCUGAUCCAGCCAUGCCGCGUGCGGGAAGAAGGCCUUCGGGCUGUAAACCGCUUUUGUCAGGGAAGAAAAGCCUCGAACUAAUACUUUGGGGUAAUGACGGUACCUGAAGAAUAAGCACCGGCUAACUACGUG